UAUACUUUGUAACUAAAGAGUCCAGCUUCCUUUCGGCCACUUUUGACUUUGAGCCGCUUUAUCAAAAUGCUGGAAGUAUUUACCAACCUCAGUCUCAUCAAAUGGAGGGACCAAUUUAACUUUCUGGCUGGCAUUAAACGGUACAACCAACUCCUUUGAGCCAGCAACUUCUUUCUCGAGCCUUAACUUCUCUAUCACAAACUGCCUCUGUCUUUCUCCUUCUUCCCUCUGUUUUUCUGCUUCCUCAGCUUCAGAACUUUUUUUAUGCUUCUUCCAUCUGUUUGUAUGCCUGUCAAGCAUCAAACACCCUCUUUCUCUCAUUCUCUUCAGCCUCUAAUUUGUACAUCAAUCUUCAAUUGUUCCAGUCAUAACUGGAUCUCCUCUUUACUCACAGAAAACCUCUGUAACACCUCCUUAUCAUACACCUUCAUAGAUAUAUUGUGCUCAACUAUUUUCCUCUGAAUUUCUGGCUUUCUCAUAGCCCCCCUAUGGAGGCUGCAAUUCCCAGCCGCACCAUCAACCGGACAUAUUAAAGUGUCCUGGAGCCGACCAUCCUCCUGAUAAUCUGGUAAACGACUGAGCUGUUGCGUUACACCAGCCUAAGUAGAUGGGGCUGGAUAAUUGGAUUGUGCCAUUCUACUACAGCCAGGGGAAUGUUCUCUGGAGCUACUUCAUUUAUGCCAUAUCUUUUUAAGGAGAGGAAUGUUUUCUCUCCCAUGCAACUUACUAUUGAAUGGCCAGCAUCCAAUAUAAGCCCACAGCCAGGAGCUGAGUGGUGUCUCUUGGUCUGAGGAGUAUUUCACUAUGUUGUUGUAACCCAGUUUUGUUCUGUUUAGCUGAUUCAAGUUUGGACUGUAGAACAGUUCUGUUGAGUUUAUAAACAUUUUGGGUAACAAAACUCCUAUUUUUUUCACCUGUACCUGCUCUCCCAGUUUUAUGCUUCCCCUGGUCCUUCACACCCCCAUACCUCAUUGAGGUUCAAUAGUCAGCUAUUCAUUUGUUUUAGCUUUUCCUAAUGCCUCAGGGGUUGGCGCUUCCAGACAUAUAUAAAUAUCCAUUGCUGCUGAUUUCCACACACAAAUAAAUCAAAAGGGAUUUUCCCCAAUCAGAUUGAUAAUUAUUUGAUCAAUAAGCCCUGCAAAUUUGUUCAUAUCCCAGACGCAGGCCCCAAUUUUGUUAUGAACCAUAAUGCUUUAGACACAAACCAGCAACAAUAGACUACACUUGGAGUCCAGUUUUGAUGUCAAAACCACUGUCUUUAUUUGUAACUACUUAUAAAAUUGUAACAAACAAUUUAAACAAAAGUUAAGUGUUAUGUGUAUAAAUGUGUGUAAAUAUAACUCCCAAACUACUGAGCUCGAGGGAAACAAUGCUUGGAGUCUUGCGAUGGUAAAGUUCAGGUCAUCCACAGAAUAGGUGAUGAGAGAGAGAUAGUUGCAAUCCAGGGUAAAUGUCGAGAGAAGGCAAUUCUGUCGAAUUCCACAGGUUCCACGGUGGUAAAAUGAGAGAUCAGUCGCUGUAGAAUUUAUCCGUCGUUCCAAAUCCACAUACGAAUUAUCACCGAAAGCGAAUUGUCACAGUGAUAUCGUCAUCACCCAGGAAAGGGCAACACAUAAGUGGUCUCCACAGGAUACGCCAAAUCCGAUCCAAACCUAUGGAUCAAACGAGGUGACAACCACACAUUCCAUGUACGGUGAAUUGAUAAUUAACCCACCCUUGCGGGUAUAGGAAAUUUCUGAAAAAUGACCCUUGGCCACCAACUCCCUGGUUUCAAUCCUUCCAUUUUUCCUCUGUCUCCAUCUGACUCUGAGCGUCCGUGUCCUCGAUUAAAACUAAACACGCUGCAAGUCAGACUGAUUUGAUUUCUUAAUCUCACACUUUCUCUCUUAAAAUGACAGUCCACAGUAAACGAAACAUAGGGAUUCAUAACAAUGGCCACACCCUGUUGUGAUCUGACUGGUGUGCCAGUAGUUGGGAUGACUGAGUGAAACCUUUCCCACAGACUGAGCAGGUGAAUGGCUUCUCCCCAGUGUGAACUCGCUGAUGUCUCUGUAGGUUGGAUGAAUCAGUGAAUCUCUUCCUGCAGUCUGAGCAGGUGAAAGGCUUCUCCCCAGUGUGAACUCGCUGGUGACUCUGUAGGCUGGAUGACUCAGUGAAUCUAUUCCCACAGACUAAGCAGGUGAACAGCUUCUCCCCAGUGUGAUCUCUCUGAUGACUCUGUAGUCUGAAUGACUGAGUGAAUCCCCUCCCACAGACGGAGCAGAUGAAUGGCCUCUCCCCAGUGUGAUCUCGCUGAUGUACCAGUAGGUUGGAUGAUGCAGUGAAUCUCUUCCCACAGACAGAGCAGGUGAACGGCUUCUCCCCAGUGUGAACUCGCUGAUGGAUCAGUAGGCGGGAUGACAGUGUGAAUCCCUUCCCACAUUCUGAGCAGGUGAACGGCUUCUCCCCAGUAUGAACAAACUGGUGUGCCAGUAGUUGGGAUGACCAAGUGAAUCUCUUCCCACAGACUGAGCAUGUGAACGGCUUCUCCCCAGUGUGAACUCGCUGAUGGCUCAGUAGGUGGGAUGACUGAGUGAAUCCGUUCCCACAGACUAUGCAGGUGAACGGCCGCCCCCUGGUGUGAAGUCACUGGUGAGCCAUUAGAUCGAGAGAAACCCUUCCCCGAAAUUCAGCAGAUGACAGCCUGUGCCCAGUGUGAUCUAACUGAUGUACCCACAGGUGGGAUGACCAACAGAAUCAUUUCCCACAAACAGAAUGGACUUGCCCAGUGUAAACCUGCUCAUGUACCUUCAGUUGAGAUAACCGAGUGAAUCCAUUCCCACUGUCUGAGCAGGUGAACGGCCUUUCUCCUGUGUAAAAUGACAGGCUUGCAAUUUUGUCAAAUGACCAAAUGAAUCCCUCCCCACAGUCUGAGCAGGAAGGAUGGUCGAGUGAAUCCCUUGCUCCACUUCUUAAAUAUCUAGACAGAGACAACAAAACUGGCGUGCCAUGUUUGAGCUUCCUGGAGCCAAAUUCCUUCCCAUUUUUAACCUGUAAGAAGAUUUACAAAAUCCAUCAAUGGAUUUAGGACAACAUUUCAGAUGAGAUUACAUGAGUUGCCAAGGAUUGAUCUGGUAUCACACUCUCCUGACUGGGCAGAGAGCUGGUAUCUGGAAUGACCAUCAAUUCCUGUCUCUAUAAGAAUGGGGCAUUUCUGCCAUCUGCAAUCUGUGGCCUGGCUCAGUUUGACUCUCCAUUGGUAUUAUUCCCUGCUCCUGCUGAGCAGCAUGGGUGCCUGGCCCCACGGUAACUGAAACAGUAUCACACAAAUAGUCUUUCUAGACGUGCAACUGGAAUUUUCUCUUAUGUAUUAUUAACUUAAAGUGCCACAAUUUUAACGCCAUAUAAAAAAUUCCUACUGAGAUGAAUGGUUGGUCCACAUAGCUGUUAAAAGGGCUUAGAGUGAAUUUUUGUAAUAUUUCAGUUUUGUCUAGAAAACUACAACACAGAAACAGGCCCUUUGGGCUAUCUAGUUUGUGCUGAACUAAUUAAACUGCCCACUGCCACAUCCCUACCAUCCAGGUACCUACACGAACCGCUUAAAUGUUGAAAUCGAGCUCGCAUGCACCACUCGGGAUGGCUGCUCAUUCCAAACCUAGAUGACUUUCUGUGUGAAGAAGUUUCCCCUCAUGUUCCCCUUAAAAUUUCACCUUUCACCCUUAAUCCAUGGCCACUGGUUGUAGUCCCACACCAAUCAGUGGUAAAAGCAAGCUUGAAUUUACACCUUCCCUUUAGUUGAAUAUACUCAAAGGCGCUUUCUAAAUGGUCACCUAUGUCGUUGUCAUUCAUAGGUCGAAUAAAUGCUAUAAAAAUGGCUAUUCUACCGAAUUUUUUAUAUUUAUUUCAGGCAGUUCCCUCUUUUGUUCC